AGAGUUUGAUCAUGGCUCAGAACGUACGCUGGCGGCACGCCUAACACAUGCAAGUCGAACGCAGUAGCAAUACUGAGUGGCAAACGGGUGAGUAUAAUGUGGGAAUCUGCCUUUUGGUUUGGAAUAACACGGGGAAACUUGUGCUAAUACCGAAUAAGCCCUUACGGGGAAAGUUUUAAUGCCGAAAGAUGAGCCUGCACUUGAUUAGCUAGUUGGUAAGGUAAAAGCUUACCAAGGCAACGAUCAAUAGCUGUUCUUAGAGGAAGACCAGCCACAUUGGGACUGAGACACGGCCCAGACUCCUACGGGAGGCAGCAGUGGGGAAUCUUGCACAAUGGGGGAAACCCUGAUGCAGCGAUGCCGCGUGAGUGAAGAAGGCCUUUGGGUUGUAAAACUCUUUCGUCGGGGAAGAAAAUGACUGUACCCGAAUAAGAAGGUCCGGCUAACUUCGUGCCAGCAGCCGCGGUAAUACGAAGGGACCUAGCGUAGUUCGGAAUUACUGGGCUUAAAGAGCUCGUAGGUGGUUAAAAAAGUUGAUGGUGAAAUCCCAAGGCUCAACCUUGGAACUGCCAUCAAAACUUUUUAGCUAGAGUGUGAUAGAGGUAAGUGGAAUUUCUAGUGUAGAGGUGAAAUUCGUAGAUAUUAGAAAGAACACCAAAUGCGAAGGCAACUUACUGGGUCACUACUGACACUGAGGAGCGAAAGCAUGGGUAGCGAAGAGGAUUAGAUACCCUCGUAGUCCAUGCCGUAAACGAUGUGUGCUAGACGUUGGAAAUAUAUUUUUCAGUGUCGCAGCGAAAGCAUUAAGCACACCGCCUGGGGAGUACGACCGCAAGGUUAAAACUCAAAUGAAUUGACGGGGACCCGCACAAGCAGUGGAGCAUGUGGUUUAAUUCGAAGAUACGCGCAGAACCUUACCAACACUUGACAUGUUCGUCGCGAGACUAAGAGAUUAGUCUUUUCAGUUCGGCUGGACGAAACACAGGUGCUG
rnacentral:rRNA from 1 species